GGCGCCUGUUUUGCUUAGUUGCUGAGCUGACUUGAUUUGUCCCCUGUUCUGUGCUCUGUCCUGCCGCUGGAUGCUGUUUAGGGUGUUCAGGCAAGCUCCGAAGUUGCGACAUGGCAGGAAAAAUCAUACUGGAGAGAAAAAUCUCUGAAUAUACUCUAUGUUGUUAAGCCUUUGCAUAUCACAGUCAUCCUCAGAGGAAUGAAAGAAUUCAUACUGGAGAGAAGCCUUAUAAAUGUAGUCAAUGUGGUGAAGCCUUUGCAUGUUACAGUCAUCACCAAUUACAUAAAAGGACACAUACUGGGCUGGAGAGAUGGCUCAGCGUCUAAGAGCACUGACUGCUCUUCCAGAGGUCCUGAAUUCCAGUCCCAGCAACCACAUCGUGGCUCACAGCUAUCUGUAGUGGGGUCUGGUGUACUCUUCUGGUGUGUCUGAAGAGAUCAAUGUUGGUGUACUUAUAUGCAUAAAAUAAAUAAAUCUUUACAAAAAAAAACCCAA
rnacentral:lncRNA from 1 species